rnacentral:snoRNA from 1 species
ACAACAUCUCCACAAUGUUGGAAAAUCAGCUGGGCCUUGAGUCUGCACCUGCAUAUUCCUACAGCUUCUCUGAGUCCUAAGGACAAUGACUGAGGAACCAUGCAGGAUACAAUG